rnacentral:misc_RNA from 1 species
GGUAUAUUAGGCAUAGAAUCGGACGACGGAAGGAGCUCUUACUGCUCGAGAAGGAGCUGUGAGACUUAUGUUCUCGCAUCCGCAAUCGAAAGGGCAGGGACUUCUUAGACGCCUGUUUGAUAUAAGGGCUUGUUUGCAUAGGCUGCACAUGAACUAAAAGGGCUUUCUGUUCAAUAGGCGAUAGGCCAUUACCGGUCGUCAGCAUUCAGAGCAGAGGUUUAGAAUCGAGGAAAGGGAUUUGUCCUAAGAUAAGCCCUUUCCGCUUUUACAGGUACGGGUACUUUUGCCAAUGCAUCUGUGGCCCCGCCGGGUCAAUCCCAGUUCGGAAUAACCUCGGCAUAUCCAGUGUUAGCGACGAAGAAAAGGAUGCCAG